rnacentral:rRNA from 1 species
AUACGUAGGGGGCGAGCGUUGUCCGGAAUGAUUGGGCGUAAAGGGCGCGUAGGCGACUUUGCAAGUCAGUAGUGGAAGUCCAUUUUUCAAGGAUGGAAGUGCUACAGAAACUGCGGAGCUUGAGUGCAGGAGAGGUUAUCGGAAUUCCCGGUGUAGCGGUGAAAUGCGUAGAGAUCGGGAGGAACACCAGUGGCGAAGGCGGGUAACUGGACUGCAACUGACGCUGAGGCGCGAAAGUGUGGGGAGCAAACAGGAUUAGAUACCCUGGUAGUCCACACUGUAAACGAUGAAUGCUAGGUGUAGGAGGUAUCGACCCCUUCUGUGCCGCAGUAAACACAGUAAGCAUUCCGCCUGGGGAGUACGGUCGCAAGAUUAAAACUCAAAGGAAUUGGCGGGG